rnacentral:tRNA from 2 species
GCGGGAGUAGCUCAGGUGGUAGAGCAUCAGCUUCCCAAGCUGAGGGUCGCGGGUUCGAGUCCCGUCUCCCGCU